CAGUCGCCGCGGUAAUACAGAGGGUGCAAGCGUUAAUCGGAAUUACUGGGCGUAAAGCGCGCGUAGGUGGUUUGUUAAGUUGGAUGUGAAAUCCCCGGGCUCAACCUGGGAACUGCAUUCAAAACUGACUGACUAGAGUAUGGUAGAGGGUGGUGGAAUUUCCUGUGUAGCGGUGAAAUGCGUAGAUAUAGGAAGGAACACCAGUGGCGAAGGCGACCACCUGGACUAAUACUGACACUGAGGUGCGAAAGCGUGGGGAGCAAACAGGAUUAGAUACCCCAGUAGUCCCUGUCUCUUAUAC
rnacentral:rRNA from 1 species